rnacentral:lncRNA from 1 species
AUUAUUCUCCAACGUUGUUGAAACAACUCAAAAGCCAUCCAUACAAAAUCCUUGAAAACUAAAAAAUCAGCUCCUUCAAAAUCCAACAAAUAUACUCAAAACCCCUACAAAAUUCUCAAACAAUUAAAAUAUAUUUGAAAACCCUAAAACACCUCCGAAACGCGAGAAACAACACCAAGACUGCAAAUAGGCACGACUCCUCAUAAAUAUCUGCGAUAACCUUAAAAUAGACAAUGGUUCUAAAAUUAAUCACGAAACCCUAAAAUAUGAGCGAGGCGCAGAUAGAAACGGAGUAGUGGUGAUGGGUGCCGGAGGAGCACGAGGGCACGCAGCACGCAUGAGUUGCGAUAAUCGAGGACGCGACACGCGAGAGAAAGGGAGCGAGGGAGCCAUUCGGUGGAGAAGAAUCGGACACGACUUGACCAGGCGUGCAUGGCGCUGUUUCCUUCACGCUUUUUCGUUGUUUCUUCAUAUUGUUUUCCAUUUAUUUGUUUAUUUCUCUGUUUCUGACUGGUUUUUAUUAUUUUUUUUUAUUUUGCUUUUUUCAUUCGCCGCCACUGGGACUUUAGAAAAGAGGUGGUGAUAGAGUAUAAACUUCCAGUGUUGCGGUGGGACCCGCAGCUUGCGACGCAUGUUGGCCUGAGGAGCACCGAAGUCAAGCCCCUCCUCCACGACUCCACCAUCUUCGUAGCCUCCGACUUUUGCAGCCUGGCGGGGAUCUCGGCGCCUCAUGGCUUGUAGCACCAUUUAAUGCGAUUAUUCGGCAUCGACUGUUUCGGUCUUGUCUGGUGUUUUUAUACUCCUUUUCCCCUUGCUUUUUCCUAAUCCUGUAAUUGUUUGCCUCUUUCCAUCGUUCAUCUCGAACUGUGAUGCUCCUGACGUUUACCUGUCUUCAGAGGUAUUACCGGAUCUAGCGAGGAUUGGAGUGCUUCGAGAUUUAAGAAUACGGAGGUCGAAGAUUGACCGUGGUCGGUGUGGCUGUGCAUGCGGCGACGGAGAGUUAGUAGGUCAAUCUCUAUCGUCUGCGACGUCACUUAUAGAACAGAUUGGACGGCUGAGUUUAAGCAUGAUCAAUCGUAAACUUCAACUUCUUCGUCGAUUUUCGGAUGUGUCCGUGUGAUUUUCUGCGCUCAAGCAAUCUUCAACUUUGAUUGUAUCAAUCGCGUGAGUGGGGUAGAAUCGACGCCAUCGCGUCCACCUUUACAUAGUUCGACUUUGUUGUGGAAAUGUGCCACAUCGGUGUUUCCUUUCUGUAUGGAAUUCGCGUUUGAAGAAGCAGCUGUUUCCUGUGCUGGUGACGCUGUGAAGUACGGGAUGAUCACCACCCUUCCCGCGGUUUCGGUGAGGUUCGCGGAUUCCAUUGAGAGCAUUGAUUGUAUUCGCUAGUGCCUUACCUGCGUUGAAUGGUAUGAAUGGAUUUAGGUUUUAGCGAAGAAGGAUUUAAACUCAAUUCUCUCAACUAGAUUUUCAUUUUUUCAAAUUGAACAAGUAGACUUCAUGACAAAGUUCAAGAUGUAUGCAUUACAUGUCCACCACUAAUUCUGGAUUCCACUUCACCUACUAACAUGUUUCCUUCCAUUGUCAAACUCAUCUAAUAGCUGAAAGUCAAGAUUAAACUUCGUACACCUUCGAAUUCACAAUACAGGUAACCGUUCCAUAUUAACAAUCAUUGUUUUGAAAAUUUCAACAUCUCACUAGUCCAUCAAGAGUGAAAACUGCGCAUCAUAAUUGUUCACAUCAAAGCGUCGUCUGUCCCCUCUGCCGAUGCCUAAAGAGAAUCACACAGUACCCAUAUUUUUAUACUUAUCAGACUCCAAAAGCUAUGCAACCAUAAACAGUGUAAGUUUGAUGGAGCAAUUAUCUAAAUCUAUGCCAGUGUAAACAGUCGCCUGGCUUGGAUCCAGCAGGUGAUCAUGGAAAUAUUACACAUUGGAAGGCCUAAUUACACACCGUUUUUUGCAGAAUGUUGGUUGUGUUGUUCAAUGAAAAAGGGGAUUGAUGUUCAGCUUCACUAUUUAUAUUAUUAGAUUCACAUACUCCUCAAAGCAUGAAGUUAAUUUGUUUGGAAUGACGAAUUUAUAAUCUGUGAGAAUAUCUGGAUCAUUUCUACCUCAUUCAAUUUGAUGUAGUGAUGUUAAUGUUCAUCGUUAAACUAAAAUUCUUCAAUUCAACCUGGACUAAUUUCAUAACCAAAACAUAAUUGCUGCGUGAUUAUGUUAAUGUUGAUUAGUUUUUGAGGAAAUUAUGUUUUCAAAUUAAAUUUUGCAUUAAAGACCAUUCAAUGAUUCAUCCUUCAUACAUCACUCAUGCUCUUGUAAUGAGAAUCCUUAGAAAUAUUCAAUAAUCCUUGAUGUUUACUUAAAGUAAAUUAAACUUGUUUAUAAAUUUUCGAAUUCAAUAUAAAUCUGGACAUUACUUUCCCAGUUUGUUCAUUUUGAUUUUAACACUUCCAAUAAAUAUUUAAGUGGACAGUCUCAAACCAUUCUUUAUCCUAUUAUAAAUAUGUAUGUAUAUAUAUAUAUAUAUAAAGAGCGAGAGAGAGAGAGAGA